AUGCCGCGUGAGUGAUGAAGGCCUUAGGGUCGUAAAGCUCUUUCGCCAGGGAUGAUAAUGACAGUACCUGGUAAAGAAACCCCGGCUAACUCCGUGCCAGCAGCCGCGGUAAUACGGAGGGGGUUAGCGUUGUUCGGAAUUACUGGGCGUAAAGCGCGCGUAGGCGGAUCAGAAAGUUGGGGGUGAAAUCCCGGGGCUCAACCCUGGAACUGCCUCCAAAACUCCUGGUCUUGAGUUCGAGAGAGGUGAGUGGAAUUCCGAGUGUAGAGGUGAAAUUCGUAGAUAUUCGGAGGAACACCAGUGGCGAAGGCGGCUCACUGGCUCGAUACUGACGCUGAGGUGCGAAAGUGUGGGGAGCAAACAGGAUUAGAUACCCUGGUAGUCCACACCGUAAACGAUGAAUGCCAGUCGUCGGGUAGCAUGCUAUUCGGUGACACACCUAACGGAUUAAGCAUUCCGCCUGGGGAGUACGGUCGCAAGAUUAAAACUC
rnacentral:rRNA from 1 species